UAAUACAUAGGCUUCAAGCGUUAUCCGGAUUUACUGGGCGUAAAGCGUCCUUAGGCGGUUUUGUUAGUUCGUUGUUAAAGCCCCUGGCUCAACCAGGGAGAAACAAUGAAUACGGCAAGACUAAGAGGAAGAAAGAGGUUGGCGGAACGCACGGUGUAGGGGUGAAAUCCGUUGAUAUCGUGCGGAACACCGAAAGCGAAGGCAGCCAACUGGGUCUUUCCUGACGCUCAAAGACGAAAGCGUGGGUAGCAAAAAGGAUUAGAUACCCUUGUAGUCCACGCCCUAAACGAUGGGUGCUAGUUGCUGGUAGUAUCGACCCUAUCAGUGACGAAGCUUACGCGUUAAGCACCCCGCCUGGGAAGUACGGUCGCAAGACUA
rnacentral:rRNA from 1 species